UCUUUGAAGUACUACGUGCCGGACCUCUUAGGAAACAACGAACUGGAGCAGUUUUAACUGAAGAGAAUAACGAAUGAGAAAGAAAGAGACGCUGUUAUUGUGAGAAAGAGCAAGCAUUAAAAUUCUGUUCUUACAAUCAUCAACGCCCUUAUGAAGACACGAUUAAACGACGAUUUAACUCUAACGUGUAGCGGGAAAAACCUAAACACUAUCAUGCAGCUCCUACAGGAAAGCAUAAACGACAUUCUAUUAUGGCCCGAAAUAUCGGGACUCAAAUUUCUCCCGAAAAAACGAAAUACAUAAUCUUUUUCAGACAACG